rnacentral:rRNA from 1 species
AUGAACGCUAGCUACAGGCUUAACACAUGCAAGUCGAGGGGCAGCAUGAACUUAGCUUGCUAAGUUUGAUGGCGACCGGCGCACGGGUGAGUAACACGUAUCCAACCUGCCGAUGACUCGGGGAUAGCCUUUCGAAAGAAAGAUUAAUACCCGAUGGCAUAGUUCUUCCGCAUGGUAGAACUAUUAAAGAAUUUCGGUCAUCGAUGGGGAUGCGUUCCAUUAGGUUGUUGGCGGGGUAACGGCCCACCAAGCCUUCGAUGGAUAGGGGUUCUGAGAGGAAGGUCCCCCACAUUGGAACUGAGACACGGUCCAAACUCCUACGGGAGGCAGCAGUGAGGAAUAUUGGUCAAUGGACGAGAGUCUGAACCAGCCAAGUAGCGUGAAGGAUGACUGCCCUAUGGGUUGUAAACUUCUUUUAUACGGGAAUAAAGUGAGGCACGUGUGCCUUUUUGUAUGUACCGUAUGAAUAAGGAUCGGCUAACUCCGUGCCAGCAGCCGCGGUAAUACGGAGGAUCCGAGCGUUAUCCGGAUUUAUUGGGUUUAAAGGGAGCGUAGGCGGACGCUUAAGUCAGUUGUGAAAGUUUGCGGCUCAACCGUAAAAUUGCAGUUGAUACUGGGUGUCUUGAGUACAGUAGAGGCAGGCGGAAUUCGUGGUGUAGCGGUGAAAUGCUUAGAUAUCACGAAGAACUCCGAUUGCGAAGGCAGCUUGCUGGACUGUAACUGACGCUGAUGCUCGAAAGUGUGGGUAUCAAACAGGAUUAGAUACCCUGGUAGUCCACACAGUAAACGAUGAAUACUCGCUGUUUGCGAUAUACAGUAAGCGGCCAAGCGAAAGCGUUAAGUAUUCCACCUGGGGAGUACGCCGGCAACGGUGAAACUCAAAGGAAUUGACGGGGGCCCGCACAAGCAGUGGAGUAUGUGGUUUAAUUCGACGCAACGCGAAGAACCUUACCAGGUCUUGACAUCAAGUGACCGCCUAAGAGAUUAGGCUUUCCCUUCGUGGACACAAAGACAGGUGGUGCAUGGUUGUCGUCAGCUCGUGUCGUGAGAUGUUGGGUUAAGUCCCGCAACGAGCGCAACCCUUAUCGAUAGUUACCAUCAGGUUAUGCUGGGGACUCUGUCGAGACUGCCGUCGUAAGAUGUGAGGAAGGUGGGGAUGACGUCAAAUCAGCACGGCCCUUACGUCCGGGGCUACACACGUGUUACAAUGGGGGGUACAGAAGGCAGCUACACGGCGACGUGAUGCUAAUCCCUAAAGCCUCUCUCAGUUCGGAUUGGAGUCUGCAACCCGACUCCAUGAAGCUGGAUUCGCUAGUAAUCGCGCAUCAGCCACGGCGCGGUGAAUACGUUCCCGGGCCUUGUACACACCGCCCGUCAAGCCAUGAAAGCCGGGGGUACCUGAAGUGCGUAACCGCAAGGAGCGCCCUAGGGUAAAACUGGUGAUUGGGGCU